rnacentral:rRNA from 1 species
UCCCGGCCCCUUCACUUGUUGGUGAGGUAAUGGCUCACCAAGGCGUCGUCGGGUAGCCGGCCUGAGAGGGCGACCGGCCACACUGGGACUGAGACACGGCCCAGACUCCUACGGGAGGCAGCAGUGGGGAAUAUUGCACAAUGGGCGAAAGCCUGAUGCAGCGACGCCGCGUGAGGGAUGACGGCCUUCGGGUUGUAAACCUCUUUCAGCAGGGAAGAAGCGAAAGUGACGGUACCUGCAGAAGAAGCGCCGGCUAACUACGUGCCAGCAGCCGCGGUAAUACGUAGGGCGCAAGCGUUGUCCGGAAUUAUUGGGCGUAAAGAGCUCGUAGGCGGUUUGUCGCGUCUGCCGUGAAAGUUCGGGGCUCAACCCCGGAUCUGCGGUGGGUACGGGCAGACUAGAGUGAUGUAGGGGAGACUGGAAUUCCUGGUGUAGCGGUGAAAUGCGCAGAUAUCAGGAGGAACACCGGUGGCGAAGGCAGAUCUCUGGGCCUUAACUGACGCUGAGGAGCGAAAGCAUGGGGAGCAAACAGGAUUAGAUACCCUGGUAGUCCAUGCCGUAAACGGUGGGCACUAGGUGUGGACUCAUCCAC